rnacentral:rRNA from 1 species
UUAAGCUGUAAAGGGCGCAAGGGGAAUGCCUUGGCACUGAGAGCCGAUGAAGGACGCGACAAGCUGCGAUAAGCCAUGGGGAGCCGCAAAUAGGCGUUAUAUCCAUGGAUUUCCGAAUGGGGAAACCCGGCAGAGCAAUACUCUGUCAGCGUGCACUGAAUACAUAGGUGCACGUGGGGAACCGCCUGAACUGAAACAUCUAAGUAGGGCGAGGAAAAGAAAUCAACCGAGAUUCCGCUAGUAGUGGCGAGCGAACGCGGAAGAGGCCAAACCGUGAGGAGCAAUCUUUGCGGGGUUCGGACAGCGAUAUGUAGUCUUAAGGAUAGCCGAACGCUUUGGGAAGAGCGGCAAUAUAGGGUGAUAGCCCCGUAGGCGAAAUUUGAGAGACGCUAGCUGGAUCCAGAGUACCACAGGACACGUGAAACCCUGUGGGAACAAGGGGGGACCAUCCUCCAAGCCUAAAUACUACUCAGUGACCGAUAGAGGAGCAGUACCGUGAGGGAAAGGUGAAAAGGACCCCGGGAGGGGAGUGAAAUAGAACCUGAAACCUUGUGCCUACAAGCACCGAGAGCUCGUUAAUGAGUGAUCGGGUACUUUUUGUAGAACGGUCCGGCGAGUUAAUGUAAGUAGCAAGCUUAAGGAACUGGAGUUCCGGAGGCGCAGCGAGAGCGAGUCUGAAUAGGGCGACUAAGUUACUUGCAUUAGACCCGAAACCGGGUGACCUAUCCAUGAGCAGGCUGAAGUUGCGGUAAGACGCAAUGGAGGGCCGCACCCACGUCCGUUGAAAAGGCCGGGGAUGACUUGUGGAUAGCGGAGAAAUUCCAAUCGAACUCGGAGAUAGCUGGUUCUCCCCGAAAUAGCUUUAGGGCUAGCGUUAUUUUAGAUUACCGGAGGUAAAGCACUGAAUGGUCUAGGGGCCGCGAGGUUACCAAAGCCUAUCAAACUCUGAAUGCCGGAUAAUUGAUGAAUAGCAGUCAGACUGUGUGAGAUAAGUCUCAUAGUCAAAAGGGAAACAGCCCAGAUCUACAGCUAAGGUCCCAAAUGAACACUAAGUGGAAAAUGAUGUGAAACUGCGAAGACAACCAGGAUGUUGGCUUAGAAGCAGCCACUCAUUCAAAGAGUGCGUAAUAGCUCACUGGUCGAGUGGUUUUGCGCAGAAAAUGUAACGGGGCUAAGUGUUCAACCGAAGCUUAGGCAUUGCAGUAAUGCAUUGGGUAGGGGAGCGUCGUAUGCGGGGCGAAGUCAGAGCGGAAGCACUGGUGGACUGCAUACGAGUGAGAAUGCCGGAAUAAGUAGCGAGAAUUAUGUGAGAAUCAUAAUGGCCGAAAAUCUAAGGUUUCUUGGGGAAGGUUCGUCCGCCCAAGGUUAGUCGGGAGCUAAGCUCAGGCCGAAAGGCGUAGGCGAUGCACAUACGGUAGAAAUUCCGUAACCACCGAACAUUUAAGCUAGAGGGACGCUUUCUUUAAGUCUAUCCCGGGCGAUGGUUGCCCCGGGCGUAAGGGACCGAAAUAUAGUAGGGAAGUAGAUGGCGAGAGAGACGAGAAAAGCUCUAGUGUAUACUAAGGUGCCCGUACCGCAAACCGACACAGGUAGAUGGGAUGAGUAUUCUAAGGCCAACGGGAGAAGGGUUGUUAAGGAACUCGGCAAAUUGGCCCCGUAACUUCGGGAUAAGGGGCGCCUGCGAGAGCAGGCCGCAGUGAAAAGGCCCAAGCGACUGUUUAGCAAAAACACAGCUCUCUGCUAAAUCGAAAGAUGACGUAUAGGGGGUGACGCCUGCCCGGUGCUGGAAGGUUAAGGGGAGUGCUUAGCAGCAAUGCGAAGGUGCGAACUUAAGCCCCAGUAAACGGCGGCCGUAACUAUAACGGUCCUAAGGUAGCGAAAUUCCUUGUCAGGUAAGUUCUGACCCGC